rnacentral:rRNA from 1 species
AAGACUUGACAUGUUAACGAUGGCCUCAGAGAUGGGGUGUCUCUUCGGAGCGUUUUCACAGGUGGUGCAUGGUC